rnacentral:lncRNA from 1 species
AUCUGUUUCCCCCAUUUCCCACUCCUCUGGAUCUCUCUAUCUCUCUCUCAAUCAUUCCCCCCACCAUUCAAUAUCCAGAGAGAGAAGAGACCUCCAUUCAUUCCCCCUUCUCCUUGUUUUGAUUGACAAAUAAUACGACACAAUGCCUUCAAUGGCCGCGGAAGAACUCUUUCUCCCCUCCACGCCGGGGAAAUUCAAGGAUAAAUCGCACUCGAUGCACCGCCAAUUGCACCGCUGCUUCGCCUCCACGAGCACCAUGUUCCUCUGGGCGCUCUUCCUCGUCGCGCUCACGGCGGCCUACCUCAGCUUCCAAUCCUUCGUCGACUCCGGCAGCAAGUACUUCACCACCGCGUGGGGCGGGAUCCACUGGGAGAAGCAGGUCCG